GACGAACGCUGGCGGCGUGCUUAACACGUGCAAGUCGAACGAAGUGGCGAACGGGUGAGUAACGCGUAAUCAACCUGCCCUUCAGAGGGGGACAACAGUUGGAAACGACUGCUAAUACCGCCUACUGAAGGAGGGGAUUGCGUCUGAUUAGCUAGUUGGGGGGGUAACGGCCCACCAAGGCGAUGAUCAGUAGCCGGGCUGAGAGGAGUAAGGGCUCAAGUGGGACUGAGAUACGGCCCAGACUCCUACGGGAGGGAGCAGGGGGGAAUCUUCCGCAAUGGAGGAAAGGCUGACGAAGCAACGCCGCGUGAGGGAGGACGGGCUUGGGGUUGUAAAGCUCUGUUAAGCGGGACGCGGGAACGGAAUAGAAAGCCACGGCUAACUACGUGCCAGCAGCCGCGGUAAUAG
rnacentral:rRNA from 1 species